UUGACCUCGGAUCAGGUAGGGAUACCCGCUGAACUUAAGCAUAUCAAUAAGCGGAGGAAAAGAAACCAACCGGGAUUGCCUCAGUAACGGCGAGUGAAGCGGCAAGAGCUCAAAUUUGAAAGCUGGCUCCUUCGGAGUCCGCAUUGUAAUUUGCAGAGGAUGCUUUGGGUGCGGCCCCCGUCUAAGUGCCCUGGAACGGGCCGUCAGAGAGGGUGAGAAUCCCGUCUUGGGCGGGGUGUCCGUGCCCGUGUAAA
rnacentral:rRNA from 1 species